rnacentral:lncRNA from 1 species
AUUGCCCACAUGGGGACACUGAGGUUUUUUUCCUCUUAGACUCUCCAAUUAUUCUAUUGUUUGGUCUAUGAUUUUUUACGUUAUUUUGUGUGAGUUCCAAUGGAUCCUUAUGAAGUAAGGAAGUUAGAAGAGUGUGACAAAGGGAUAUUGCUCCACAAUUAGUCAAGCCAUCAAUGACAUUUUUGGGAAAUGAAAGCUUGCUUUUGUGAUUUCGAUUGGCAUGCUAUGAGCUGUUAUAGUUUGCAUGAUGGUUUGAACCUUGUUGUUUGUUUUUUCUCCUCUUAGCUUCGCUGAUGUCUCUGUUUGGAUUCUUAGUAUAUUUCUUUUGUU